rnacentral:rRNA from 1 species
CCUACGGGAGGCAGCAGUGGGGGAUAUUGCACAAUGGGGGAAACCCUGAUGCAGCGACGCCGCGUGUGGGAAGACGGUCCUCUGGAUUGUAAACCACUGUCCCCAGGGACGAAGUUUACGGUACCUGGGGAGGAAGCUCCGGCUAACUACGUGCCAGCAGCCGCGGUAAUACGUAGGGAGCGAGCGUUGUCCGGAAUUACUGGGUGUAAAGGGAGCGUAGGCGGGACUGCAAGUUGGGUGUCAAAUCUACCGGCUCAACCGGUAGCCGCACUCAAGACUGCAGUUCUUGAGUGAAGUAGAGGCAGGCGGAAUUCCUAGUGUAGCGGUGAAAUGCGUAGAUAUAAGGAGGAACACCGGCGGCGAAGGCGGCUUACUGGACUGUAACUGACGUUGAGGGUCGAAGGCGUGGGGAGCAAACAGGAUUAGAUACCCGUGUAGUC